UAUGCCUCAGAACCUCAGUAUGAAAGUCUUCCGCGCUUUGGUCUGUUUCAUCUUUCUUGCAGGACUGCAGGAUGCAGGAUACUCUGGUUUUGUUAAUGCAGAAACUCCCAUCUAUACAGAAAUGGAGGGUGGAAGCAUCACAGUUAAAUGCACAUUUUCUUUAACUGGAAGAAGGAGACUCUUCUGUACGGGAAAAUGUGAAGAAGGAAACAUUCUCAUUGACACAACUGAUGACUCAGCGCAGAAUGGCAGAUACAGCAUUAAAUAUAAAGAAGGAUUUUAUCCAUUACAUAAGACAGUUCUGAAUGUGAGCAUCACACAGCUGAGAAGAUCUGACUCUGGAAUGUACAGAUGCUCUUUGGACAGAAUUUUGCCAUUUGAUUCAAAUGAAGAAUUUGAGAUUGUUGUCACAGACGCUUCAGUGACCUCAAAACCAAAGUCUACUGUGCAACCUUCGCCAGUUUCAACAUUUCUCUCAUCAGCCCCCAUGACAACAGCAACGGUGACAACAUCACCAAAGACCCCCAACAUCACAGAGUUUAAAUUCCAUUUCAGGAGGCACCACACCUUCACCAGCCUCCUCUUCAACCUCCAAACAGACACAGACACCUCUUCCAAAUUUAGUUACUGCAGGUACGCUGCCUGUGGUGGCUCUUAUUCUGAUCACUGUCUUACCAGUGGCUUUGCUGAUUUUCUGCAAGAAGAGGAGGGCCAGUAAACCUAAAGUGUUCCCUUAGGUUUUUUUAAACAGCGUUGGAGCAGCAUAUUAAAGACAGAUGUUUACUGUUUGCAUGUUCUUCAGGGCCUCCUGUGGAAACAGAGCCCCCUGACAUUACAACGGCCAGUCAGUUGUAUGAAGAGAUCAGAGAGGAGGACAGAUUGAGCAAUUUACCUCCUGAAGGAGUAUUUUCAAUUUACACCACUGCCAAAUGCCCCCAAGGAAACAGAGUUGAAAGCACAGAUGACUACAGCCUUGUCAUCUGUCCUCAGAACAAAAGUGAAGAGAACUUGAGUAAGCUUGCUGCCACCAACAGCGCCCCCUGUGGCCAUGCAGAUGUUUUGUACUCCACGCCUCAUGUACAUUUCAGCACAGCCAACCACACCAAAGACGCCUCACCUCCUCUGUAUUCUACUGUUGGAAACCAUCAGUAGUAAUGUUAUUACAGGCUUAUUGCUAUGAUAGUUGUAGUUUGUUCAGACCAACUGGUAACACAAACUUUCUUCCAUUAAUCAUGCCAUUGUGAUUUUUAUUAGUCAGGGAAACAAGCAACUGCUGAAAUAAUGGAUUUCAUAGUGGAUCAACAGGCAUAACUGAUUUGUAGCAACCUGAUCAUAGUCCAUUGGAUAGUCCACCUUUGUAUUUAGCUGAGGAGUUUAUAGAAAGUUAGCCUGUAGUUGAUAACUACUUAAAAGUAGUUGGUACUAACUUCACACAACUUUGCACAUGAAGAAAAGUUCUGUUUUAGUGCAAAGGAAAAAAAAUACACGAACAAUAAUCAAUGAUCAAAGGUAAUAAAGUAGUUCACACAAUGAUGAUUGACUGAUGAUUCAAUGACUAAUGAUUAUCAAAUAAUAAGAAAAACAGUAAAAUUAUAAAUAACAUUUCCAGUGAAGUUUAUACUAAAGCCCGUUUUUUACAUAAUCUUUGAGAAUUUCUGUAUUUUGUUCACCAUUUUUUUUUCUUGGGCUAUUACUUAAAAUUGAGAUGAAUUGAAUUGAAUUUGCAUACAAGCAGCAAUGUCAUCUCCUGCACAUUUUAUGUAAGCUGUUAUUACAAAGCAAAACAGCCGAUUUCAGUUCGCAAAAUGUAAAUAUGCAGAUUGGGGCACAAUUUAAGCUUUAUGUUUAUGAUGGAACUGCAGUCCUUACAGGCAAUAAAUAAAUAAUAGGCGGGAUUAGUUGAUCUAGUGACAGUUUCAGCAGAUGCUGAAUGGAGUGCUGAAAACAGAACAUUAGAAAUAAAUUGAUACUUAAUCUUAUACUUUUUCUUCACACAUUUGUGGUGUUACGUUCUCUAACAUGCAUCUUAUAUGAUUUGCUCUGGGUAAACUGCACAGAAUGUACUGAAGAAUGCCAAAGACCACCCAAAAAAUUGGACAUAACUUUCAACUAUGGCUGCAACGACGCAUCAAUUAAAUAACUUCAUUUAAAAAAAUUCUUGACAAAAUGUAUUUUCUUCAAUGCAUUGUGUGAUGUGCGGCUCUGUGGUGCACCGAUGUGUUAAACUAUGUAAAUGCAAGUGUUUCACCCACAUUUGCUAUGAAACACAGACCUGCAAUACCAAUGUAUUUAGGAGCAGCGUAUGAAUAAACAGUCUGACAACAUUAAGCAGACGCAGCCUCAGUUUUAAACAUAAAAACCAUUGGCAGCAGAAAUGAUGACGCUGGCACAUUUUAUUGUGAAGCUGGAUUCUGUUUACACAUCAGGAAGAGCAAAGAGGCUGAGCUGUUACCAAGAUGGUGAGCUCAGUGUAGAGUGAAAGAAAAUGUGUUCGUUAUCAUAUCGAGACUAGCUCUCUAGCGAGAGAUCAUAUUGGUGAUUGUUUGAUCUCCACUUGGUUGCAUGCAUGUACUUUGUGUGGCACACUGUGUGGUUUAGGAGGCAGGGUGUGUCUGUUUACCUUUGGGGUUGGGAGCCUGUCUCUGUUAUAAAAAAAAAUUAUUAGAUUGUUAAAAGCUUAUAAGCUACAGUGAGACUAGUUGCUGGCACCUUGUCUCACGGUCUUGAGGGUUGCACAGUAGCACUGUUGCACGCCUAGGGUCCUACAUCCGGUCGUAUCCCCUGUCGUAUUGCCCACGGUUUUGCGGGUUUACACAGCCAGCAGGACCUGGCUGUGGCUAGCGCGUUAGCUCAGCAAGCAAAAGCUUCUCUGGCCUGCUAGAGGCCUGCUAGAGGAACCCAGCUUGUUCUCGCAAGUUUCAGUCUCAGGCUUCCCAGUUCAUAACAUGUAACAUCAAGCAUUUCAUUCACACCAUAAGAUAAACAAUAAGAGCAGUGGUGUGGCGAUGCUUCGUGUCUUACCCGUUGAGACAUGGGAAACCCAGUGAGUGUGUUUGUGUGUUGUCUUCUGGUUUCUAUGUUAUGGCUGUCUUUGCCCUGUGUGAGUAGGGGAGACCGGGGAUAGUUGUAACAUUUUUGACAUUUCUGUCU